rnacentral:lncRNA from 1 species
CAACUUUGGCGAAGUAACUUCGCCGAGAGUGUGGUGCCCGUAUUACAUAAAGUUUAGUUUAGAGAUUUUUAGAUUUAGAUUUAGUAUUAUUUCAUGUGAUUAUUCCUAUACUAAUACAGAAUAGUUUGUCAGUUGUACUCUGUAGGUAAAGAAUCUAGUGUUGCAUUCAAUUAAUAUAAAAUUAUAUUUGUUAAGUACUCAGUACUAAUAUUUAAUUACGGUUUCACAUUAUACUGCAGAAACAUAAUCUUGAGGUUUUAAAUUUAUUAUUUUUAUUUAGUUAAAUAAAAAUGGUUCAAAAAAAAUCUGGGGCACGAACCGAAGAAGAAAAGCCGAAAAAGAAGAAAUGACAAAAACAAUAUUAGUUCUCUUAGCAAAUUUCAUAUAUUACCGCAGAAACAUAAUCUUGAGGUUUUAAAGUUAUUACCUAUUUUUAUUUAGUUAAAUAAAAAUGGAUUCAAAAAAAAUCUGGGGCACGAACCGAAGAAGAAAAGCCGAAAAAGAAGAAAUGACAAAAACAAUAUUAGUUCUCUUAGCAAAUUUCAUAGAAAAAUUAAAAUUAAUUUAUUUUGUCAGAUCAUGGAUUCAAUAAAACUGUAACCGAACUUUAUUUACCUGGGACCGACUAAGUCGAUGCCUCGCUGCCUGGAACACACAUUUUUAGGACACAAGUCCAAAAUCAAGUCAUUAAUAUGGAGAAAAGCUCUUCUAGCUACCCCAAAAUCAGGUGGUUUAACCACAUAAAGUAAUAUAGAGGAUGUCCUCUGUAUGUAAUACUCCAUUACGCUCCAGAAGAGCAUAGGUCUAUUAUCGUAAAUAUUCAAAUACCAGAUUUGAUUUUUAUCGGUUAUUUUUCUCAUCUCAGUUCUGAUCAAAAGUUGUAAAUAAAUCAAUGAAAAUAAUAUAACAUUAGGUAAUCUUAAUUAGUGGGAGAAAUUAAAAAAAAA